rnacentral:rRNA from 1 species
UACGUAGGGUGCAAGCGUUGUCCGGAAUUAUUGGGCGUAAAGAGCUCGUAGGCGGUUUGUCGCGUCGAAUGUGAAAACCCGGGGCUUAACCCCAGUCCUGCUUUCGAUACGGGUGGACUAGAGGUAGGCAGGGGAGAACGGAAUUCCUGGUGUAGCGGUGAAAUGCGCAGAUAUCAGGAGGAACACCGGUGGCGAAGGCGGUUCUCUGGGCCUUACCUGACGCUGAGGAGCGAAAGCGUGGGGAGCAAACAGG